rnacentral:rRNA from 1 species
UAACACGGGGGGAGCAAGCGUUGUUCGGAUUUACUGGGCGUAAAGGGCAUCUAGGCGGUUAAACAAGUUAGCUGUGAAAUCCCUCGGCUUAACCGAGGAAUUGCGGUUAAAACUGUUUUGACUAGAGUACAGCAAAGGUAAGCGGAAUUCUGAGUGUAGCGGUGGAAUGCGUAGAUAUUCAGAAGAACACCAGUGGCGAAGGCGGCUUACUCGGCUGAAACUGACGCUGAAGUGCGAAAGCUAGGGUAGCGAACGGGGUUAGAGACCCCGGUAGUCCUAGCCGUAAACGAUGUGAACUUGGCGUUGGUGGCUUAAACACCAUCAGUGCCGUAGCUAACGCGAUAAGUUCACCGCCUGGGGACUACGACCGCAAGGUUA